UACGGGGGGAGCAAGCUUUGUUCGGAUUUACUGGGCGUAAAGGGCGCGUAGGCGGCGUGACAAGUCACUUGUGAAAUCUCCGGGCUUAACCCGGAGCGGCCAAGUGAUACUGUCGUGCUAGAGUGCGGAAGGGGCUACUGGAAUUCUCGGUGUAGCGGUGAAAUGCGUAGAUAUCGAGAGGAACACCUGCGGCGAAGGCGGGUAGCUGGGCCGACACUGACGCUGAUGCGCGAAAGCCAGGGGAGCGAACGGG
rnacentral:rRNA from 1 species